rnacentral:rRNA from 1 species
UAAUACCGGAUAUUCACUUCCUUCCGCAUGGAGGGUGGUGGAAAGAUUUAUCGGUGGGGGAUGGACUCGCGGCCUAUCAGCUUGUUGGUGGGGUAAUGGCCUACCAAGGCGACGACGGGUAGCCGGCCUGAGAGGGUGACCGGCCACACUGGGACUGAGACACGGCCCAGACUCCUACGGGAGGCAGCAGUGGGGAAUAUUGCACAAUGGGCGAAAGCCUGAUGCAGCGACGCCGCGUGAGGGAUGACGGCCUUCGGGUUGUAAACCUCUUUCAGUAGGGAAGAAGCGAAAGUGACGGUACCUGCAGAAGAAGCGCCGGCUAACUACGUGCCAGCAGCCGCGGUAAUACGUAGGGCGCAAGCGUUAUCCGGAAUUAUUGGGCGUAAAGAGCUCGUAGGCGGUUUGUCGCGUCUGCCGUGAAAGUCCGGGGCUCAACCCCGGAUCUGCGGUGGGUACGGGCAGACUAGAGUGAUGUAGGGGAGACUGGAAUUCCUGGUGUAGCGGUGAAAUGCGCAGAUAUCAGGAGGAACACCGAUGGCGAAGGCAGGUCUCUGGGCAUUAACUGACGCUGAGGAGCGAAAGCAUGGGGAGCGAACAGGAUUAGAUACCCUGGUAGUCCAUGCCG